rnacentral:lncRNA from 1 species
GGGAAAUUUGACUCAAGGCAGCAGGGAAUGAGAGGCUUUAGGAAGGCAGCAGGUGACAGUGAGGAUGAGUCAGGUAUGCACAGUGGUGAAAUUUCCAAAGAAAUGAUUGAGAUAUAUUCAGUAAGCAUGAGAGUACUUGUGUGGACCACAGGACCGAUUAUUUGAUUAUACAUGGUCAAGAGUGACUUCCUGUUAGGUUAGGACUUGUGUGGUGCCUGAAAUUACCGUAAGCAGUAAUUCUGACUGGGAGAGAGUGGGGAGGGCAGAUGGAGCAGAGAGGGCAGCCAGGAACAGACCGUGAUGCCCGGCCUCUCUGGUCCCAUUCAUUUCUCUGAAGAUGCAAGCACACGGUGGGUGGUAGUGCAAAAAGAAAAUAUUUGUAUUUCUCCCUCUUACCGACUUAAGCACUUCAAAAUUGACAUUGUCUAGAAGAUUUGAGAUUACUGGUGGUGGUAUAUUCCAUUGUUUAACAUAUUCUGAAAUAAAGAAGGAACAUAUUAUGAGUCAAAAGAACCAUAACCGGGAAAUCUCUUCCCUGCCCAUUCAACAGAGUGAUCUGAAUAAGGGCCUGGAUACUCCCCAGGCUGUUGGAGGGUGUGGGAGGUGAGAGCCGGGUAGCCAGGAAGAGAAGACUCCAGAACCAGAUUGAAACCUGAUCUGUGCUGGGCUGAUCCUGAUAGCCAAUAAAUGGUCGUCAUUGUGGGAAUGGCUUCAGUAUCAUACCCUGGACUUCAGUGGAAGAGAACACAUGGUCGGCCCUGGGGCAGGCACUCAGGUGCAGUGGCAGAAGCCUGGAGAUUCACCCCAGGGUGCCAGGGGAUCCUGUGCCACAGGCGCUGGGAAAGGUGGUGUGAGCGAAGGUCUGGAAGAUCCUUAGAUCCAGUGCCUUCCUGGAGCAAAUGGCUGUCUUCUUUCAAGUUCACCGGAAGCAGACCCUGACAACAGGAUUGGAGUGCAGGUAGUUGAUUUGGAGAUGAUCCCAGGGAACACUGG